UGGUGGUAUGAUGGUGUAACUUCCCC
rnacentral:piRNA from 1 species